CACAUGCAAGUCGAACGGUGAACACGGAGCUUGCUCUGUGGGAUCAGUGGCGAACGGGUGAGUAACACGUGAGCAACCUGCCCCUGACUCUGGGAUAAGCGCUGGAAACGGCGUCUAAUACUGGAUAUGUGACGUGAYCGCAUGGUCUGCGUCUGGAAAGAAUUUCGGUUGGGGAUGGGCUCGCGGCCUAUCAGCUUGUUGGUGAGGUAAUGGCUCACCAAGGCGUCGACGGGUAGCCGGCCUGAGAGGGUGACCGGCCACACUGGGACUGAGACACGGCCCAGACUCCUACGGGAGGCAGCAGUGGGGAAUAUUGCACAAUGGGCGCAAGCCUGAUGCAGCAACGCCGCGUGAGGGACGACGGCCUUCGGGUUGUAAACCUCUUUUAGCAGGGAAGAAGCGAAAGUGACGGUACCUGCAGAAAAAGCGCCGGCUAACUACGUGCCAGCAGCCGCGGUAAUACGUAGGGCGCAAGCGUUAUCCGGAAUUAUUGGGCGUAAAGAGCUCGUAGGCGGUUUGUCGCGUCUGCUGUGAAAUCCGGAGGCUCAACCUCCGGCCUGCAGUGGGUACGGGCAGACUAGAGUGCGGUAGGGGAGAUUGGAAUUCCUGGUGUAGCGGUGGAAUGCGCANAUAUCAGGAGGAACACCGAUGGCGAAGGCAGAUCUCUGGGCCGUAACUGACGCUGAGGAGCGAAAGGUUGGGGAGCAAACAGGCUUAGAUACCCUGGUAGUC
rnacentral:rRNA from 1 species